ensembl:lncRNA
CCUCAAUAAAACACAUCAGCAUAUUACAAAAGUCUGAAACAAAUCCCUACCGGCCCCCUACUGUGACACCAACAGAGUUGAAUGAUUGAUGAAACUACUACAAAUGUUUUGGCAAAUGAUUAUAUUCAUUCCAUAAUACCUAGAAAUAACUUCAACUGGAGACAGUCAAUGUUUGAGAGCAACAGGGAUUGAUAGGAAUUAUUAAUCCUUCAAACACGGGAAAAGCGCUCAGUUUUUAUUCCUGUACUAUCAAUGACCCUGGCUACAGACCAGCCACGGCCACUUUCGAUACAGGACACGCACACACCCACACACACAGACACACACACACACACAGUUACCUGCUACUCUGCAGGACCAGGGUCCAACAUGGAGCUCAGCAGAACGCCAGCCUUCAUCCUGAGCACCACCUGGAUGGGACAGAACACGAGCAUGAGACACAACAUUAUUUUGUUUAACAGCUAGAUUAACCCCUGCUGUAGGAGUUAGACGUUAGUGCAAGUUAGUAGCCUAGCAUGCUAUAAGAGCCAUGUUUAAAUGAACUGAUGAUUGGCCAGCAAUCAUUAAAU